GACGAACGCUGGCGGCGUGCUUAACACAUGCAAGUCGAACGGAAAGGCCCUGCUUUUGUGGGGUUCUCGAGUGGCGAACGGGUGAGUAACACGUGAGUAACCUGCCCUUGACUUUGGGAUAACUUCAGGAAACUGGGGCUAAUACCGGAUAGGAGCUCCUGCUGCAUGGUGGGGGUUGGAAAGUUUCUGCGGUUGGGGAUGGACUCGCGGCUUAUCAGCUUGUUGGUGGGGUAGUGGCUUACCAAGGCUUUGACGGGUAGCCGGCCUGAGAGGGUGACCGGCCACAUUGGGACUGAGAUACGGCCCAGACUCCUACGGGAGGCAGCAGUGGGGAAUAUUGCACAAUGGGCGGAAGCCUGAUGCAGCAACGCCGCGUGCGGGAUGACGGCCUUCGGGUUGUAAACCGCUUUCGCCUGUGACGAAGCGUGAGUGACGGUAAUGGGUAAAGAAGCACCGGCUAACUACGUG
rnacentral:rRNA from 1 species